ANACACGGGCCNGACUCNUACGGGAGGCAGCAGUAAGGAAUAUUGGGCAAUGGACGCAAGUCUGACCCAGCCAUGCCGCGUGGAGGAUGAAGGUCCUCUGGAUUGUAAACUUCUUUUAUCUGGGAAGAAAUCCAUAUUUUCUAAUGUGGUUGACGGUACCAGAUGAAUAAGCACCGGCUAACUCCGUGCCAGCAGCCGCGGUAAUACGGAGGGUGCAAGCGUUAUCCGGAUUCACUGGGUUUAAAGGGUGCGUAGGCGGAUUGGUAAGUCUNUGGUGAAAUCCCCGAGCUUAACUUGGGAACUGCCGUGGAUACUAACAGUCUUGAAUAUCGUGGAGGUAAGCGGAAUAUGUCAUGUAGCGGUGAAAUGCUUAGAUAUGACAUAGAACACCAAUUGCGUAGGCAGCUUAC
rnacentral:rRNA from 1 species